CUUUGAACAUAUAUAUGUAUAUAUAUAUAGACUGUCUCUUAAAAAAUUUUUUAUUAAGUGAAGUUUUUAAAGAAAAUUAAAAUUAGCGUUAUGAAAAUUUAUUUAAAAUUUUGUAUAUUACGUUCGUGACUGUAUAAGUUUAAUCUUAUUUCUUCACUGUUGAUGUUAGAUUCAGGUCGUUAUGAUUUUACACAAGCUUUAAACAAAGCAGUCACUGAAGGCCAUUGCUACUUAAUACAUAACGGUUGAAAAAAGUACAAUAAAAAAAAUGCAGCACAGAAGAAACGUGGCAUAAUUGGAACAUCUAUAGAUGAUAUCUGACAAUUCAAUUGGGCUCCUUAGACUCAUAUACCAACAAAAUCGGUCCAGUGAGAGUAGAAAAUUUUUAUGGAUAGAUAUAAAAAAAUAAACCAUCACAAAACCAAUACCUUCUCAGCUUUUAUGGAACUAAUAUAGUAGGUACACUUCUAGACUGUAUUACUUUUUUAUUUAUCAUU